rnacentral:lncRNA from 1 species
GAGUAGAGUCUCCAUCUUUACAUUGGAAACUCAGCCUCCCAUGCUUCUCUUUAGUUUUCCUAUAGGCCCCAGAUCAGAUCCAGUCCUCGGGGUUUCAGCCUGCCUUUUUAAGAAUAUAAUUUGAAGCUAUGUUGGUGCCUGCCUUUAAUCCCAGAGGCAGAGGAAGGAGAGUCUCUGUGAGUUUGAAGUCAGCCGGCCUACAGAGCAAGUUCCAGGACAGCUAAGGCUACAUAGUAAAAUCCUGUCUCAACACCAUCUCCCCUCCAAAAAAAGAUUUGAAAGUGUAUGUGUGUGUGUGUGUGUGUGUUUGUUUGUGUGUGCGCGAUCAUGCGGGGAGAGGGGGGGUACUCUGGGUCUUAGAUCUGUAGCUGAAGUUGCAGGGAGUGUGAAACGCACUUUGUGGACACUAGUGAACUCUGUUUUUCUAAAGAGCAGCAAAUGCUUUUAGCUGUUCUGGGGAGGUCUUGCAGGCCUUUAUGGUUUUCCAUUUCUUCUGCUUUACAAAUUCUUCCAUCUCUUUGGAUAACUCAUGUGUCUCUUAUAUGCUUAUUUUCAUGGAAUUCAUUAAAAUUCCUGACUUUAAAUUAGGGGUGUGGCUCAAGGGUAGAGCUCUUCCCUGGCCUUGGUUCUCAGCACCACCAUCAAAACAGCAGACCCUUGGUCUCUAGUCACUUUUUCACUUUCUCUGGACCACCAUGUGGGUGUCCCUGGCGUGCCACAGGAAAGCAACAGAGCAGUGUGCAAGGGUCACGGGGCUUCCUCUGUCAGGCCUGGGCUCUGCUUCCUGGAGCUCAGUAUUUAAGCUGUUGAUGUCACUAAGCCUGAUGCUGAAUGCACUAAGGUGCUGAGCCUGAGCUGCUGUGGGCUGAAAGGUGAGCAGAGACACUUCAGAGAUCAUUCUUGACAGAUGAAUCCCCUCGUUCAGCCUUAGAGGAGACCCCUUUGAAGCAAAUCUAAAAAGGAGCAGGAGGUGGCUGAGAGCCAGCAAGAUGGCCAAGCAGGUUAAGGAAUGUCCUGCCAAGCUUGACGCUCUGGGUUUGAUCCCUGAGACCCACAUGAUGGAAGGAGGGACCUGACUCUUGGAAGUUGUCUUCUAUCUCUGCAUGUAUGCUAUUACACACGUAUUAUUAUUAUUAUACACAUACAUAUGUACAUACACACAUGCACACAUACACACACACACACACAUUUUUUAAAAAACUAUUUGAAAAAGAGUCUUACUAUAUACAUAGUUCUGGCUGGCCUGGAACUCACUAUGUAGGCCAGGCUAGCCUCAGACUUAGAGAGAUCUGCCUGCUUCUGCCUCUUGAGUGCUGUGAUUAAAAGAUGUGCACCACCAUGCCUAAUUAAAAUUCUAUUUAUUUAUUAUUUUAUGCAUGUGAGAGUGUUUGCCUGCAUAUGUGCAUCAUGUGCGUGCCUAGUGUCCACAGAGGCCAGGAGAGAGCACUGGCUCCCCUGUAACUGAGUUAUAGGAGGUUGUGUGCAUCAUAUGGGUAGGUCCUAGGAACUGAACCUCGGUCAGUGUGCUCUUAACCACUCAGCCAUCUUUCCAGCCC